rnacentral:misc_RNA from 1 species
UUUCCGUAGGUGAACCUGCGGAAGGAUCAUUACAGAGUUCAUGCUCGAAAUGGUAGACCUCCCACCCACGUGUAUUAUUACUAUGUUUAUUUAGCGAGCGCAAGCUAGCCAGACAAUAUUAAAACUUGUUUUAUUUAUGUCGUUUGAGUACUAUAUAAUAAAUAAAACUUUCAACAACGGAUCACUUGGUUCUG